rnacentral:tRNA from 1 species
CAUUAGAUGGCUGAAAGCAAGCACUGGUCUCUUAAACCAUUUUAUAGUAAUUUACGCCUACUUCUAAUGA